rnacentral:rRNA from 1 species
UACGUAGGGUGCAAGCGUUGUCCGGAAUUAUUGGGCGUAAAGAGCUCGUAGGCGGUCUGUCGCGUCGGCUGUGAAAACUCGGGGCUCAACUCCGAGCUUGCAGUCGAUACGGGCAUCACUAGAGUUCGGCAGGGGAGACUGGAAUUCCUGGUGUAGCGGUGAAAUGCGCAGAUAUCAGGAGGAACACCGGUGGCGAAGGCGGGUCUCUGGGCCGAUACUGACACUGAGGAGCGAAAGCGUGGGGAGCGAACAGG